rnacentral:rRNA from 2 species
GCGGUGGAGCAUGUGGUUUAAUUCGAAGCAACGCGAAGAACCUUACCAGGUCUUGACAUCCUCUGACAAUCCUAGAGAUAGGACGUCCCCUUCGGGGGCAGAGUGACAGGUGGUGCAUGGUUGUCGUCAGCUCGUGUCGUGAGAUGUUGGGUUAAGUCCCGCAACGAGCGCAACCCUUGAUCUUAGUUGCCAGCAUUCAGUUGGGCACUCUAAGGUGACUGCCGGUGACAAACCGGAGGAAGGUGGGGAUGACGUCAAAUCAUCAUGCCCCUUAUGACCUGGGCUACACACGUGCUACAAUGGGCAGAACAAAGGGCAGCGAAACCGCGAGGUUAAGCCAAUCCCACAAAUCUGUUCUCAGUUCGGAUCGCAGUCUGCAACUCGACUGCGUGAAGCUGGAAUCGCUAGUAAUCGCGGAUCAGCAUGCCGCGGUGAAUACGUUCCCGGGCCUUGUACACACCGCCCGUCACACCACGAGAGUUUGUAACACCCGAAGUCGGUGAGGUAACCUUUAUGGAGCCAGCCGCCGAAGGUGGGACAGAUGAUUGGGGUGAAGUCGUAACAAGGUAGCCGUAUCGGAAGGUGCGGCUGGAUCACCUCCUUUCUAAGGA